ACAAGCGGUGGAGCAUGUGGUUAAUUCGACGCAACGCGAAGAACCUUACCUGGGUUGACAUCUUGGGAAUCUUUAGAAAUAAGAGAGUGCCCCGCAAGGGGAGCCCGAAGACAGGUGCUGCAUGGCUGUCGUCAGCUCGUGUCGUGAGAUGUUGGGUUAAGUCCGCUAACGAGCGCAACCCUCGUCGUGUGUUAUACGUGUCACACGAUACUGCCGGUAUCAAGCCGGAGGAAGGUGGGGAUGAUGUCAAGUCAGCAUGGCCUUUAUAUCCUGGGCUACACACACGCUACAAUGGCAGAUACAAUAGGUUGCGAAACCGCGAGGUGGAGCCAAUCCUCAAAGUCUGUCUCAGUUCAGAUUGUAGGCUGCAACUCGCCUGCAUGAAGUUGGAGUUGCUAGUAAACGCAGGUCAGCUAUACUGCGUUGAAUACGUUCCCGGGGUUU
rnacentral:rRNA from 1 species